rnacentral:tRNA from 1 species
GGGAUUUAGCUUAAUUAAAGUGGUCGAUUUGCAUUCGAUUGAUGUAAGAUGAAGUCUUGCAGUCCUUA